rfam:Medicago truncatula strain A17 chromosome 3, whole genome shotgun sequence.
UGAGGAGGCAUCCAAAGGGAUCGCAUUGAUCCUAUAAUAUUUCAACUUUAGUCACUUUAAUUUUCUCUCAUAUAAUACUUAAUUGGGAUCAUGCCAUCCCUUUGGAUUUCUCCUU